rnacentral:rRNA from 1 species
CAGCCGCCACGGUAAUCCGUAGGUGGCAAGCGUUGUCCGGAAUUAUUGGGCGUAAAGGGCUCGCAGGCGGUUUCUUAAGUCUGAUGUGAAAGCCCCCGGCUCAACCGGGGAGGGUCAUUGGAAACUGGGAAACUUGAGUGCAGAAGAGGAGAGUGGAAUUCCACGUGUAGCGGUGAAAUGCGUAGAGAUGUGGAGGAACACCAGUGGCGAAGGCGACUCUCUGGUCUGUAACUGACGCUGAGGAGCGAAAGCGUGGGGAGCGAACAGGAUUAGAGACCCCCGUAGUCCCUGUCUCUUAUAC